rnacentral:miRNA from 1 species
UCUCUCUCUCAGUGUGUGUGUGUGUGUGUGUGUGUGUGUGUGUGUACACACAGACACACACAGAGAGAGAGAGAGAGA